AUCAUAACUACUCUGAUAAUA
rnacentral:snRNA from 1 species